AAGUCCUUAAAAAGGAGAACCUUUCUCAGCUGUGGUGAGAGGAGGAGCUGACAGUGAAAGAAAGGUCAGAAAGAUGCCAUGUUGCUGAGGAAAGGCCACUGCAGAAGAAAUGCAUGUGACUUGCAGAAGAAAUGCAUGUGACUUGCAGAAGAAAUGCAUGUGACUUCUAGAAGCUGGAAAAAGGGAGGAAUGGACUUUCCCAUGAAGCCUGCAAGGACCUGUGACUUCCGACCUACAGAACAGAAUAAAAUGACCCUUUCCACUACUUCCAUAUGUUCAUGUUUCAAAACGAAAACAUUUUCUGCAAAGCAGACUCUUACUCCCUAAGAAACCAAGUUCAGUUCAGUCGCUCAGUUGCGUCAGACUCUUUGCGACUCCAUGGACUGCAGCACGCCAGGCCUCCCUGUCCAUCACCAACUCCCAGAGUGUACUCAAACUCAGGUCCAUUGAGUCGGUGAUGCCAUCCAACCAUCUCAUCCUGCCGGGAGCCAGCGAGAGAUAUUCCACUUGUGACAAAGGUCAUGAGGAAGGAGGCUCGGCAUAAGCAAAGGUGGGAUGGAGCCUCAGGAGUCCCCCCGGAUAUUCUCGAGUAUCUACCCCCAAAAAACCAGAGUCUGCCUACUUUAUUGCUUUGUGCUCUCACCUCUGACUUUACUGGGGGCUGUCCCCUACCACCAUCUCGCUCUCUCUGUCAAAGAGUUAACUUACAGCUCCAAUUAAUAAAGUUCCUGGGCAACUAGGAGUGUUUAAAUCCAAACCCCUCAGCUGGCUCUCUAACUCGCCUGACAAGUUUACGUGGACUCCUACAGCUAUGCAUACGAUUGUUUACAGUCUCCCAGCCUCGAGAGGCAUGGGAAGCUUAAGAUAUUCAAAUAGCUUAGAGCCUCUCAGAGAGUUAGAAACUGUCAGAAUAAACUAGUAAAGGAUUUCAUUGAUGAGCCAAUGCUUGUUGCCAAGUUUCCACAUCCCCUGAAUUGUAUCCUUGAAUAUUAAUUAAUUAAUAGUUGGUAUGUAGAAAAAAUAAGUAGUGGCCUUGGUGUUAGUAACUUUAGACCCUUAAGG
ensembl:lncRNA